rnacentral:rRNA from 1 species
UACGGGGGGGGCAAGCGUUGUUCGGAAUUACUGGGCGUAAAGGGCUCGUAGGCGGCCAACUAAGUCGGACGUGAAAUCCCUCGGCUUAACCGGGGAACUGCGUCCGAUACUGGAUGGCUUGAGUUUGGGAGAGGGAUGCGGAAUUCCAGGUGUAGCGGUGAAAUGCGUAGAUAUCUGGAGGAACACCGGUGGCGAAGGCGGCAUCCUGGACCAACACUGACGCUGAUGCACGAAAGCGUGGGGAGCGAACAGG